rnacentral:rRNA from 1 species
ACGAAGGGGGCUAGCGUUGUUCGGAAUUACUGGGCGUAAAGGGCGCGUAGGCGGUCAAGUAAGUGGAAUGUGAAAGCCCCCGGCUUACCCGGGGAUCUGCAUCCCAAACUGCUUGGCUUGAGUACGGGAGAGGAUGAGGGAAUUCCUGGUGUAGCGGUGAAAUGCGUAGAUAUCAGGAGGAACACCGGUGGCGAAAGCGCUCAACUGGCCCAAUACUGACGCUAAAGCGCGAAAGCUAGGGGAGCAAACGGGA